ACCCAUCAUGGGGAGAAAUUCCAGGCCUGGAAUUGUUUAUUUGUUGGGUUUUGUCUUUUUUUCCUCAGUGAGAAAUUCCAGUGCAAAAGUCCAACCUGGUUUUGGUGGCUGGGAUGUGGAGGAGAAGAUUAUGUGGCCACCUUCUUCUUCACCUUCUCCACAGUAGCAGAAGAGUCACCAGAGGAGUUUUUCUGAUCUUCUCAUCCCAAUUCAGGAAAAAAAAAAUAAAAUAAAUUUCCAGCUUCUUGGUUUCACUCCAGGAUCCUCUGGAAUUCACUGUGGGAAUCUGCACCAGUGGCUGCCCCCGGAUCCGAGUCCCUCUGGUUCUCAGGGGCUCCUUCAAACACGCCCUGGUCCGUGCUGCAGUUCCAGGAGGUGCUGGACCUUCAGGAGGUGACGUCUGGAGCACUGCAGCCCUGCCCUGGAGGAAGAAGCCCAGCCCUUCGUGCUGCUCUGUGACUAGUGACCCCCUGCUUUUUAUCUUGGAUUCCCUUGGCUUGCUUCAGUUGGACUCAGUCAUCUUAAGGUCUUUUACAACCUGAAGAAUUUUGUGAUCUGACUGAUGGAGCACUGGCUGUCCCUAAAAAAGCCCAUCCUAUGUGAUUUGUAAGAGUGGGAUAGAGAACAGAGCCAAGAGGCUCCCACCAAACACAGCUCCCCCUGCCCUGCUUCGACCUGGAGCUGCACCAGGAGGGACCAGCACAUCCCAGUUCCUCCUGGGAGCUGGGAAAGGGGACAAGAUCACAACCCUGCCAUGUCCCACACAUUGUGACCACAGCUUUUCCUCUCCACAAGCUCUGGUUGGGACGCCCCUGCUGCUGUCGCCUCUCCAAGAGAUGUUCCUCCCCCAUCUCCUUAUAUCCUGUAUUUACAACAGACUGGCAAAAAUAAAAAUGGCCAAAAAAGGAGCGUUGGCACUGAUUAAAUUUAGAGACCAGAUCCUGGGCAUCCCCUCCUUGUCUAGAUCUUUGCCAUCCUGGGGCAUCGUGGCAGCAAAGUGAUUUUCUCCAGAAGCACAAUCCUCGUGCUUCCCACAGGCCUCGCUCCUACCUGGCAGCAAACAAAACCCAAUUCAUGCUGCUACUAAAUGCUUUCCUCCAGCAACCCCGAGCACAAACAAACACCCCAAAGAAACCAAGCACAGAAAAGCCUGCAGAAAGCAGCUGUUCCCCUCCUUCAGAGAGGAGCCAACGUGCUUGUUCCUUCAGAGAUGCGCAACGAGGGGAGCUGCGAAGCGCUGAAAUGACAUCUUGUAACGCGCCGGCUGUCACGCUCAUGGGCACCCCUGCUCCUGCUGCUGCACAGCUGAACAGCCAGAGCCAGCGUGGCAGCCCUGGCACUCCGUGUUCUCACCCUGCCUAAUUAGUAAUAUGUUAAUUUGACAAUGAGAUGUUGUUCUUUGCGGAAAAUUUCCUGCGCCGCGCUUGGGUUCUUUGCGGGUUUUUUUGGCGGCUGCUUCUCGGCUCGCGGAGUUUUUUGUUUUCUCGGUUUUCUCAGCCCGGGCAGAGCAGAGCCUGAGGGAUCUUUUUGGCACAUCCUUGGAAAUGUCCAAGGCCAGGUUGGAUGGGAUUGGGAGCAAAGCCUCCUUUCAGCCCCAUCUCCCCCAGAGCUGAAGGUUGGGCCGCCCCUGCUCCUCACUGCCACCAGCACGAUGCUGAAUUUCAGCAGGGAGCACCAGCCACUAAAAAAACCCCAAAAUUGUCCCUUUUUUGGAUUUUCCCUUCAAGCAGGUUGAUCCAAGACCCUGUUGAAACAGAAAUCAAAAACCUGCCAGACUCGAAACAUUAAUUAAGACACACAACAGGGAGAAAGGGGGAGAAGGAAGGAGGGGAGCAUCCAUUCAGGAAUUAUCUGCUCCACAAAGCAGCGUUCAUGGCUUCCACACACAUCCAUCAUUUUUGGGGAGGGGAAAAGCAAGAAAUUAAAUCCAACCCCACAGGAAGUUUGUCCACCAUGGAUUUAAUUUCCCAACUUGCAUCAGGCAAAGAUUAACCUUGCUGAAGGGCACCAGUGGAGCAGGGAGGAAUGCACAAAUUAAUCCCUGCUAUGAGUUUCUUCAGGAGGAAACACUGAGCAAGAUUAAAUAUUUAUUGUAUAUAAAUACCUUCUUUCCCACCUCCCCCAUUUCCUCUCCUGAUCUGCAUUUCAGGCUCCUUCCAGCAGAGCCAGUUUGCCCAGCAAGAGUGCAAGGGUUUGUUUUUCCUCCUGGAUGAGGAGGAAGGUUUGAGGAAUAAUUCAUUUGCCACCUUGAUUUUUCCUUGCCUCCCCUCCCGUGAUUGAUACCGUGGCACUUAAAGGGGAGAAAAUCAAGUUGUGCUGAUCUAUGACCAGACACUAUUUAUUCUUGUAGAACCUCAUCUGCAAUUUUCUUCAGCAUCUCCAGAAUUAAAAUCCCUUUGCAAUCUCUCCAGCUGGCUGAAAAUGUGCCAUUUCCCUGCCUCCCCUCCUCAGAUGUCUUUUGCCUCUGAUCAGGGCACGCCGUUAUCGAUGAUGUGAUUCUGCUUUACAUUCAGAUGCUCCUGGGGUUUUUUGGACCAUAAAUAAUGUUCCUGUGCAGCCCAGGCAGAAUCAUUCUGAGGGUUUGGGGCUUUUUUUUUUUUUUUCCCUUUUCUUAUUCCUUUUCCUUCUCUCUUUCCCUUUCUAUCUUUCUUUCUCCAGCUCUUGCAAGGGGUGAUAAAUUCAUCAUUUCUUCCCCCGUAGCAACCGCCAACGUGCAAUAUGGAGCCUGUUCCUUCACACCUGGGCUUUCAGCUCAGGGGUGACCCUGCAGACAGAGAAAAAAAAACUUUUUCCAUGGAUCCUGGGCUUCCUGGGAGGAACAAACCAGCCUGGAACAGAGCAUGGCUCAGCACUUUAAUCCUAGAAAGCAGCAGAGAGGCACGGUGUCCCUCUGUUGUCGACAGCCUGCUCCAUGCUGGGGACAUUGCUGGAGCAGAUGAAGAUGAAAACUGGGUUUUUGAGAGAUUUCCGUGUUUUCCAUGGAUAUUCCUCCUUGAUGGGAUGAUGGGAUUUGGGCUGGCAUGGAUGUGCCCUCUGGAUCCUGCCCCAGCCUUCUGGAGUAGAGAAGUUUUUUAGGGUUGCAGUCACCAGGCUAAAUAUCAUAUUUAGUAAGCUCAAAGUGGCACAUUUUACUUAAAUCUAAAUGGAUUUCUACCUUGUUAAAUUUUUACUCUGUCUCAACACAAUUCAUCCUCCUCUCCCUGCUCUAGAACUUUCUUCCUGCUGCCCAGGGAUGGGGAGAACUCCCAGGCUCCAUCAGGAUGGGUUUUCCAAUCAUUUUGGGGAUCCCUACCUUCAAUUUCCAGCACCAGCAGCCCUUUGUGGCUCCAAGGGAGCCCACCUGGAGAUGUCAGUGCCACAGAGCCAUUCCCCACUGGAAAAGGCUUUGCUGGGGCCCUUCCAGCAGCCUCCACACGGCUGAAUUCCUGUUUGUUUUUUAAAAACCCGAGAUUUUUGCGUUGUUUUGUCUCUCAUUUUGCAGAGUUAAUCGGAUUGGCAAGCACAGAAAGGAGCUGUCAGGGGAAGCAGCUGCCGAGCAGCACAAAGCUGGGUGUGUAAUCCAAGCUUUACCCACAGCCUUAUUAAGAUCGAGAUGUCUCAUUACAGGCUGGAUUUCCAGCUGGAUUUCACAGCUUUUGUGAUUUUUCCCUUUCACCCCUUCCUCUUCCCAACGUUAUUUUUUAUUUUUUUUUUCCCACUCAUAUAAUUCACUGCUUUUCGCUGUGGGGGAAAGACUUUGGUUGAACACGUGUUGCACUGAGCAACAUCCUCAAUUUAAAUGGAAAUUCUAUCAAUAACAAAUGUUCUCUCUCUUUCCUCGCCCGGGGAAGGGCCUGAAAAUAUCAUUCAGAGGGGAAAAAAAAACCCCUCCAGAGCUCAAAGCCAGCACAAGAAGGACCACAGUCCUCUAGCAGGACCAAUUACAGAUAAUAAAGUGCCCAUUUGUUGCAGCUGAGAUGGUGUAAAUGAGCUGGAGGAAAAAGCAGUUCGGGAAUCCAGGCUGAAAAAUCAAAUGAAGGGUGAGGGGAAGUGGGAAUCUCCUUAUGGAGUGACUGUGAUCAUUUAUUGCAGCAGCUUUGGGCAGAAAUAGAGGCAGGGAAAGGGAUCCUGGAACAGCUCCUGGAAGGAAUUUUGGGUGAUCCAGUCAAGGGCAUGAGGAGUUUAAGGUGGGUAAAGGGACCAAAGGCAUGACUGGGUCCCAGCCUGAUCUCCUCUCCAAGUCCUCUUCUCUUUUCCCAUUGUUAAUUUAUCAUUUCAAGCCUGGCUUGUUGGGGCAGAGAUUUUUCUGUGUCAGGUAAUGCUGGGAAUGCCCUGCAACACAUGGGAAAAACCUAAACACUGAAAUCUAAGUUAAAAUACAUUUGUCCCUCUUCUCCAAGGGAGAAAACCUAUGAAAAAAUAUUCAGUUUUUCCACCGUCACCCAAAAUUCCAGUAAUCUUCAGAAAUUACUCUUUUCUGGUUGAGAAACUUUUCCAAAGGAGAAACUUUGCCAGGUGUCCAUAUUGUUAGGAAGCAUUUUACUCCUGAAAGAGAUGCUUUGAGGGCAAUUUUUCAGCUGGCUGCAGAAAUAAAUCAUUGAGCAUUGC